GUGGUUGUGGCUCAAGUGGUAGAGCCCUCGCCUAGCACGUGUGAGGCACUGGGUUCGAUCCUCAGCACCACA
rfam:Ictidomys tridecemlineatus contig020286, whole genome shotgun sequence.